GAUGAACGCUGGCGGCGUGCCUAAUACAUGCAAGUCGAGCGAACAGACGAGGAGCUUGCUCCUCUGACGUUAGCGGCGGACGGGUGAGUAACACGUGGAUAACCUACCUAUAAGGCUGGGAUAACUUCGGGAAACCGGAGCUAAUACCGGAUAAUAUAUUGAACCGCAUGGUUCAAUAGUGAAAGACGGUUUUGCUGUCACUUAUAGAUGGAUCCGCGCCGCAUUAGCUAGUUGGUAAGGUAACGGCUUACCAAGGCAACGAUGCGUAGCCGACCUGAGAGGGUGAUCGGCCACACUGGAACUGAGACACGGUCCAGACUCCUACGGGAGGCAGCAGUAGGGAAUCUUCCGCAAUGGGCGAAAGCCUGACGGAGCAACGCCGCGUGGGUGAUGAAGGUCUUCGGAUCGUAAAACUCUGUUAUUAGGGAAGAACAAAUGUGUAAGUAACUAUGCACGUCUUGACGGUACCUAAUCAGAAAGCCACGGCUAACUACGUG
rnacentral:rRNA from 1 species